CCUACGGGAGGCAGCAGUGGGGAAUAUUGCACAAUGGGGGAAACCCUGAUGCAGCGACGCCGCGUGAGUGAAGAAGUAUUUCGGUAUGUAAAGCUCUAUCAGCAGGGAAGAAGAAAGACGGUACCUGACUAAGAAGCCCCGGCUAACUACGUGCCAGCAGCCGCGGUAAUACGUAGGGGGCAAGCGUUAUCCGGAUUUACUGGGUGUAACGGGAGCGUAGACGGCGGGGCAAGUCUGAAGUGAAAGCCCAGGGCUCAACCCUGGGACUGCUUUGGAAACUGUGGGGCUAGAGUGCUGGAGAGGUAAGUGGAAUUCCUAGUGUAGCGGUGAAAUGCGUAGAUAUUAGGAGGAACACCAGUGGCGAAGGCGGCUUACUGGACAGUAACUGACGUUGAGGCUCGAAAGCGUGGGGAGCAAACAGGAUUAGAUACCCGAGUAGUC
rnacentral:rRNA from 1 species